CUGUCAUUUACCAGGGCAUCUUGCAUGAGUCCCAUCUUGAGUCUCAGACUUUGCUUUUUCUAUUUACCACCUCAGCUGAUAACUAUGGUUUCCCUUCUACGCUUUUCAGGGUCUUUAGGACAUGCCUUCCGAUUGCUUUUGAAGACAGUACUAAUACUGGCUACCCACCUGGUAUCUUUGCUUUCUCUACUGAGCUCACCAUCAAGAGGUGCUUUUACUCAGGCUGUUUGCCAAAGGUGGUCCAUAAGAACACCCCCACACCUUCCUAGCAGGCUUCUAUUUUGUACCCUUCCCACUGUAAAUGUGAAAGCUUCAGGUACAAUGGCAACAGCCAAUUUGGAUGUCGGCAAAAAAGAGAAAGAC